CUGCGGAGGGAUCAUUACAAGUGACCCCGGUCUAACCACCGGGAUGUUCAUAACCCUUUGUUGUCCGACUCUGUUGCCUCCGGGGCGACCCUGCCUUCGGGCGGGGGCUCCGGGUGGACACUUCAAACUCUUGCGUAACUUUGCAGUCUGAGUAAACUUAAUUAAUAAAUUAAAACUUUUAACAACGGAUCUCUUGGUUCUGGCAUCGAUGAAGAACGCAGCGAAAUGCGAUAAGUAAUGUGAAUUGCAGAAUUCAGUGAAUCAUCGAAUCUUUGAACGCACAUUGCGCCCCCUGGUAUUCCGGGGGGCAUGCCUGUUCGAGCGUCAUUUCACCACUCAAGCCUCGCUUGGUAUUGGGCAACGCGGUCCGCCGCGUGCCUCAAAUCGACCGGCUGGGUCUUCUGUCCCCUAAGCGUUGUGGAAACUAUUCGCUAAAGGGUGCUCGGGAGGCUACGCCGUAAAACAAACCCAUUUCUAAGGUUGACCUCGGAUCAGGUAGGGAUACCCGCUGAACUUAAGCAUAUCAAUAAGCGGAGGA
rnacentral:rRNA from 1 species